GAAACGACUGCUAAUACCGCAUAAGCCCACGGCUCGGCAUCGAGCAGAGGGAAAAGGAGCAAUCCGCUUUGAGAUGGCCUCGCGUCCGAUUAGCUAGUUGGUGAGGUAACGGCCCACCAAGGCGACGAUCGGUAGCCGGACUGAGAGGUUGAACGGCCACAUUGGGACUGAGACACGGCCCAGACUCCUACGGGAGGCAGCAGUGGGGAAUAUUGCACAAUGGGGGAAACCCUGAUGCAGCGACGCCGCGUGGAGGAAGAAGGUCUUCGGAUUGUAAACUCCUGUUGUUGAGGAAGAUAAUGACGGUACUCAACAAGGAAGUGACGGCUAACUACGUGCCAGCAGCCGCGGUAAAACGUAGGUCACAAGCGUUGUCCGGAAUUACUGGGUGUAAAGGGAGCGCAGGCGGGAAGACAAGUUGGAAGUGAAAUCCAUGGGCUCAACCCAUGAACUGCUUUCAAAACUGUUUUUCUUGAGUAGUGCAGAGGUAGGCGGAAUUCCCGGUGUAGCGGUGGAAUGCGUAGAUAUCGGGAGGAACACCAGUGGCGAAGGCGGCCUACUGGGCACCAACUGACGCUGAGGCUCGAAAGUGUGGGUAGCAAACAGGAUUAGAUACCCUGGUAGUCCACACUGUAAACGAUGAUUACUAGGUGUUGGAGGAUUGACCCCUUCAGUGCC
rnacentral:rRNA from 1 species